UCGGGAAUUUUGGGCAAUGGGCGAAAGCCUGACCCAGCAACGCCGCGUGAAGGAUGAAGUAUUUCGGUAUGUAAACUUCGAAAGAAUAGGAAGAAUAAAUGACGGUACUAUUUAUAAGGUCCGGCUAACUACGUGCCAGCAGCCGCGGUAAUACGUAGGGACCAAGCGUUGUUCGGAUUUACUGGGCGUAAAGGGCGCGUAGGCGGCAAUUCAAGUCAUCUGUGAAAUCUCCGGGCUUAACUCGGAACGGUCAGAUGAUACUGCUUUGCUAGAGUGCAGAAGGGGCAAUCGGAAUUCUUGGUGUAGCGGUGAAAUGCGUAGAUAUCAAGAGGAACACCUGAGGUGAAGACGGGUUGCUGGGCUGACACUGACGCUGAGGCGCGAAAGCAAGGGGAGCAAACAGGAUUAGAUACCCAUGUAGUCCUGAGCGGGCUGGCAAGGCGCAU
rnacentral:rRNA from 1 species